rnacentral:rRNA from 1 species
UACGGGGGGGGCAAGCGUUGUUCGGAAUUACUGGGCGUAAAGGGUUCGUAGGUGGCUUGCUAAGUCAGACGUGAAAUCCCUCAGCUUAACUGGGGAACUGCGUCUGAUACUGGCGAGCUUGAGUGCAGGAGAGGAACGCAGAAUUCCAGGUGUAGCGGUGAAAUGCGUAGAUAUCAAGAGGAACACCUGCGGCGAAGGCGGGUUGCUGGGCCGACACUGACGCUGAGGCGCGAAAGCCAGGGGAGCGAACGGG